UUUCUUGCGAUCUGGAUCUGGCCCUCAGCCUUCCCUUCCUUGAUCGGCAAAUCGCAGGUCAUCUGGAUUUUUUCCCCUCACAUGUGUUUGAGUGUUUUUGUUUUAUGUAGAGAUCUUGGUGAAGGCCUUUUUCACGAUCCAAGCGGUUCUCUGCGGUGUGGUUCUUCGGUGCUUUGCGGAUUAAAAGAUGGUUAUGGCUUCCGAUCAGUUUCUUGCGGCUGUUCCACCGAUUUGGUUCGUUCUGUUCUUGCUGCCGAGGAAGCACUGCAGGCGCGGAAGCAGAUCUGCGGCUCGAAGUUCGGAUCGACGGGCGUUUUCGAUGCACAAACUCCAGUUGCCAGGAAAAUAGACGUUGUUUGCCUGAAUGAUUAAGUUCUUGCUCAGAACUUAAUCAGUUGUAAAGGAGUGGAUGCCUCUUGGGGAUCAGAACAAGACGGAUGGGCUAGGUUCUUGAUGAUAGACUGGGAAGGUAAUAUGCAUUUGAACAUGUUGCAUCGACCUUUGCCAUGUUGGGUGCGCUCGCAUGGCAGGUCACCCCUGCUUAAUAAAAAGUAAUAUUUUUUGGGUGCUGGCGGGGAGAUCGCACGGGGCAUUUGUUUUUAUUCCCCGGGUUCUCCAUCGCCUGUGUGUGUGUGUCUGCCUCUACCUCGUUGAAUUUCAUGUUCCCUAUCGUCCCAUCUCGCUAUCAGUUAAAUGCGGUUUCAUGGCGAUAUCAGCAAUAUCCCGAUUCAACCGCUGCAUAUUCAAUUGUCCAUCACCUACGCAUCCAUUCCAAGUGGUGAAAUCAUGGGGUCCCCAGCAAUUUGAACCAUCUUUCUGAAAUGAUAAGAUUGAUUCAUUUAAGAACUAAAGAUUAUCAAAUUUGCAUGCUUUUUUGAACGUACAUAUCACUGGUAUUGAUAGAUGUGGUUUCUCUUGGUAAUCCAUGGGGCGCGACUUAAUCAUUGUAAAUAGUUUCUCAAAUACAGUAAAUUGCAAGGUUUUUAUGGUCACUAAUAAUUGAUAGCAAAUGGUACAUUACAUCAAAGUGUUAUAACUAGUUUGAAAUGUUUAAUAUGGAUCAAUGUCUUAAGAAGUAAUAUUUCAAAUGUCAAUCAAAUUCUUGUUAAAAAUAAUUUUUUCUAGUUAAUAUCCCUCAAUUAGUGCCAUAUCCCAUAUACAGUUGGUAAAACUUAACCAAGGCUAAAUAUGUUGAAACAAUUACAUUCAUGGGUUCAAAUAUAUUCUCAAGUUCAUGAUUGAUGUUGUGAUUGUUUAAAAUUUUACUGUCAUAUCUUGUGUUCAUUUCUACAAUUUUUCUUUGUGCUGUUUCCCAUUUAAUCUUAUAUAUACAUUUGUAAAUUCGGGUCUGGUUGGGUGACGGGUUUGUUGGGAAAAAUGUGUAAUCAUGAUUGGGGUAAUUGUGAAUGUAAAUUCAUGUAGUAGAAAAGGCUCUUAUGCUCUACUCAUUACAUGGAUUACAACAGUCUUGAGAGUUCCUGUCUACGGGGGUAAAGAUUUUGCAGCUGAAGCUCUAUAGAAGUUUGUCAAUUGUAUUCAAUAUUAAAGAUGCUGCUGUCAAAGAUUGUCUGUAGUUCUGUCAAUUGCUGUCUAGUGCUGUCAAUUGAACUCGAGGCGCAUGGAAAAGACUUGGAAUUCAUCUCACCCUGCAUUUUGGUGGAAUCAAUUCUCGGCUUGGAUUUGUUGGUACCUGAAGCUUACAAUUUCGUUGCCACAUCUGGCCGAAAUUGUGAUACAUUCAUGGAGCAAAAAUUUGGGCGUAUUAUGACUAUUGUUUUGAGCACUCUUAUGUGAAGUCAAGUUCUGAAGACUCCUGUAAGAACAAACUUGAAUUUGUAAGCCUUUUUUUGAUUCA